UUUUGACAAAAAAAACAAAAAAUUGUUAAUUCACUCAGUUUUCCAAAACUUUUGGCAACGGAUCUCUGGGCUCUCGCAUCGAUGAAGAACGCAGCAAAACGCGAUAUGUAUGUCGACUUGCAGACGUGAAUCAUGAAUUUUUGAACGCACAUUGCGCGGAAAGGCAUUCCUCUCCGCAGGGCAGUCUGAGUGGAUAUCUUCUCACUACGUGGUCUAAAAAACUCGCACUCUCGCUACGCUCGAGUGCUUUUUUCCCUCAU
rnacentral:misc_RNA from 1 species